rnacentral:lncRNA from 1 species
AUGAAAUGCAUAUUCCUUAAAACCUUUGGACACCUGAGCAAUGAGAAUGGAAAGAGAACAACUCCAAAUGUGUGUUGCCUGCUGAGUGUGGCCCAGCAGCAGCAUGUGCAAGUCUGCCCUGUGCAUGGGAGGCUGGAGGACAGCAGCUGGAAACCAAGAGGACAAAAAUGAGAAACUAACAGUAAGAAGAACCAUCAACUACUUUUGAGCUCCACUAAUGGUUUGAUUUGCACUUUGUUAAGUUUCAGUCUGAAAUCUGGAGACAUAUGUCUCCAUCUUUCCCCAGCUCCCUAUCUCCUCCCAUAAAACCCAGGAGCGCCCAUUCUACCUUGAUCCUCUUCUUUUUUUACACUUCCAUGAAAUGUUGGCCCCUGGGGUAGUAGGGAGGUUUCCAUGGCUUCUGCCCUAUGGAGAUAGCCUAAGUGGUGUUGGCGAACCCCA